rnacentral:SRP_RNA from 20 species
UCGGUCCCCCCGCAACGAUAAGCUGCGAACCCCGCCAGGCCCGGAAGGGAGCAACGGUAGCAGUGGACUUGUGUGCCGGGGUGCGGCUGG